AAAUUUUGUAGUUUAAUUUUAAAAAUAUGGAAUAUUAAAAAAACAAAAUAUUAAAAAAAUAAAAUUAUGUUAUAUUGCUCUCGCUUUGCUUACGUCAUGUCCGGCCACGGCCACAUAGCCGUCUCUCUCUCUUCUCUCUCCGUCUCUCGCCUUCAACCCACAAAGCCCAUCCUGUCGAGAACCAGUCAAAUUUAACAUGUAAUAGAUUACAAGUUGCAUAUGCUUCUCUUUUCUUUCAUCUUUUCUGAAUCAAUUCUACACGAACUAGUCAAACACCCAAGAAUAUGCAUAUGCCAGACAGAUAAAACAUCUCUUUCUAUUCCUUUUCAUUGGUUUCUUUAUCUUAAACUGUUAUUAUAAUUUAUUUUUGAGAUGAUCAAAAGAUAUAUGUGUGUAUUUACAAUAUAGAAGAGCUUCAAAACCCGCUCAAAAUCUUUUAUUUUUAAAGAGAAAAUGGACUCUGAUUUUGGACCUCUCGCCUCGCUGCCACCAGACGACAAUACACUUUGCAGCACCAUCAUCAGAGCUACCACCUAGAUCGGUUGAGCAUCGAUGAUUUCGUGGUAGAAGACGAGGUGCGACCCGAUUUCCCAUGUCCCUACUGUUAUGAAGAUUUCGACAUUGCGUCUCUGUGUUCCCACCUUGAAGAUGAGCACUCUUGGAAGUCUAAAGUCACCGUAAGUUUGAAACAAAAAGAUAUUUUCUGUGUUCCUGCUUAUGUUCUUCUCUUCCUGAUUGGGUUUUGUCGCAAAAAACUUUUAUCCUUGUUAUGAAUUUAAUUUAAUGUUAACGAUUUGGUUUGCUUUUGAGAAAGCAGACAAGCUAGUUGCGCUUACUUGUUUUGGUACUUUAAUGUAUGCGUUUAACUCCUAGAGUCCUAGGCUUAUAAUAACCCUUUUCUUUCCUCUUAUGUUUGUAUCAGUUUGUCUUUUCUUUUGUUGAUUUUAUGGUUUAAAAUCCCAUACUUUUUAUCUCAAUAGAAAAUGGGUUGAGGCUUGAGGGGACCAAAUUUUUGUUAAUAUCUUUAAAUGUGUAUAAUAUAUGCAUGGCCCGAAUAUUGAUGCCUUUCCAUUCAAGUACCAAGGAAUGCUGGAAAUGGAUGCUUCCUCGUUGGGUAUGCCAUGUUGACAGAUAGCUAUUUUGCUGCUUGGUUUACCGUAGGGGAAUCCUGCGCAUGUUUUUGUUGCAGUAUGAGGAAAUGUAGCCUUGAGGAUUGAGCUUUCUGGUGCCUUAUUUCUAUAAUCAAACUGGUUGUAUGGUAGAAAAAGUCCUAUGUUGAAAGUAAUCUAGAAGAUUAAUUUGAUUUAUGAAUUGUUAGAGUUGGUUUGUUUCAAAGCGGUUACAUUCCUCUCUAGGAGGUCCUUGAGUUGAGCAGCCUGCUUGAAUAAUUUACAACAGAUACUUGAUAUCAGUUUCACAUUUUUAGUUUGUUCCAUGAGCAAUUAAGGACAGAUAUAGAAGAAGGUGUGACUGAGGUUCUAACUUCCAAAAUAUGAAGAGGAUAUCAAGAGCUGGCAACCCUUUCAGUUUUUAGUACAGCAAAUAGUCUUUUAAUUGCUGCAAGUAGCAUGAUAGAUUUGCUUUUAUGAAUGGUGUCAAAGAUGUGGUGGUUAGUACAAUAUUUCGGGUCAUGUUGGUGUGUUGUUUCAAUAGUUCGAGAUUUUAAAUAAGGAUACAUGCGUGUGAUGCUUGUUGUAGCGAGUAAGAAUGUGAAGAAGUGACAGACCAAUAGAAAUGAAGGUACAAGAGUCCAGACAUUUUUUCUUUUGCUCUUCUUUAUAGAAAUCCCUUUUGUUCUCUUGGCAUUUUCUUCUUUCUUUUUGGAAGGUACUGUUGUAAUGAAAAGUAAGGCAGAGGGAAAGGGAGGGAGGAGAAAUGAAAAUCGGAUCUAUAUUGUACCAUGAUCAAUUGUAAUUCAGUUUUUAAGCCAUUGCUGUUCAAUGCAAUCAAUUCCUCACACACUUCUCUUUAAGAGUGUGAUCAACAGCAG
rnacentral:misc_RNA from 1 species